GGGCUUAACACAUGCAAGUCGAGGGGCAGCAUGGCCUUAGCUUGCUAAGGCCGAUGGCGACCGGCGCACGGGUGAGUAACGCGUAUCCAACCUGCCUUACACUCUUGGACAGCCUUCUGAAAGGGAGAUUAAUACAAGAUGUUAUCAUGAGUAAGCAUUUUCGCAUGAUUAAAGGUUUACCGGUGUAAGAUGGGGAUGCGUUCCAUUAGAUAGUAGGCGGGGUAACGGCCCACCUAGUCUUCGAUGGAUAGGGGUUCUGAGAGGAAGGUCCCCCACAUUGGAACUGAGACACGGUCCAAACUCCUACGGGAGGCAGCAGUGAGGAAUAUUGGUCAAUGGACGAGAGUCUGAACCAGCCAAGUAGCGUGAAGGAUGAAGGUUCUAUGGAUUGUAAACUUCUUUUAUACGGGAAUAAACGAAUCCACGCGUGGAUUUUUGCAUGUACCGUAUGAAUAAGGAUCGGCUAACUCCGUGCCAGCAGCCGCGGUAAUACGGAGGAUCCGAGCGUUAUCCGGAUUUAUUGGGUUUAAAGGGAGCGUAGAUGGGUUGUUAAGUCAGUUGUGAAAGUUUGCGGCUCAACCGUAAAAUUGCAAUUGAUACUGGCAGUCUUGAGUACAGUUGAGGUAGGCGGAAUUCGUGGUGUAGCGGUGAAAUGCUUAGAUAUCACGAAGAACUCCGAUUGCGAAGGCAGCUUACUAACCUGUAACUGACAUUGAUGCUCGAAAGUGUGGGUAUCAAACAGGAUUAGAUACCCUGGUAGUCCACACGGUAAACGAUGAAUACUCGCUGUAGGCGAUAUACAGUCUGCGGCCAAGCGAAAGCAUUAAGUAUUCCACCUGGGGAGUACGCCGGCAACGGUGAAACUCAAAGGAAUUGACGGGGGCCCGCACAAGCGGAGGAACAUGUGGUUUAAUUCGAUGAUACGCGAGGAACCUUACCCGGGCUUAAAUUGCAACCGAAUAUGGCGGAAACGCUAUAGCUAGCAAUAGCGGUUGUGAAGGUGCUGCAUGGUUGUCGUCAGCUCGUGCCGUGAGGUGUCGGCUUAAGUGCCAUAACGAGCGCAACCCUUGCCGAUAGUUACUAACAGGUCAUGCUGAGGACUCUGUCGGGACUGCCAUCGUAAGAUGUGAGGAAGGUGGGGAUGACGUCAAAUCAGCACGGCCCUUACGUCCGGGGCUACACACGUGUUACAAUGGGGGGUACAGAGGGCUGCUACCACGCAAGUGGAUGCCAAUCCCAAAAACCUCUCUCAGUUCGGAUUGAAGUCUGCAACCCGACUUCAUGAAGCUGGAUUCGCUAGUAAUCGCGCAUCAGCCACGGCGCGGUGAAUACGUUCCCGGGCCUUGUACACACCGCCCGUCAAGCCAUGGGAGCCGGGGGUACCUGAAGUGCGUAACCGCAAGGAGCGCCCUAGGGUAAAACUGGUGACUGGGGCUAAG
rnacentral:rRNA from 1 species